rnacentral:tRNA from 1 species
GAAAAAUUAGUUAAUCCAUAACGUAAGUUUGUCAAGCUUAAAUAAUCCUUUUAGAUAUUUUUCA